rnacentral:rRNA from 1 species
GAUGAACGCUGGCGGCGUGCUUAACACAUGCAAGUCGAACGAUGAAGCCCAGCUUGCUGGGUGCAGUAGUUGCGAACGGGUGAGUAACACGUGAGUAACCUGCCCUUAACUCUGGGAUAAGCCUGUUAAACUGGGUGGAAUACCGGAUAGGAGCUUUCUCGUCAUGCUUGGUUUUGUAAAGAUUUAUCGUUUUUGGAUGGACUCGCGGCCUAUCAGCUAGUUGGUGAGGUAUUGGCACACCAAGGCCACGACGCGGAGCCGACCUGUGAGGGUGAGCGGCCACACGGGAACGGGGACGCGGGCCAGACUCCUACGGGAGGCAGCAGUAGUGAAUCGACCGCGAGGGGCGGAAGCGUGACGGAGCAACGCCGCGUGAGUGAUGAAGGUCUUAGGAUCGUAAAACUCGGUUAGUAGGGAAGAAAAAACGUGUAAGGAACUAUGCACGGCUGGACGGUACCUAAUCAGAAAGCCACGGCGAACUACGUG